GAUUUCACUUUGAAGAAAGUUUGAGAUAACUGAUAAGCAGAGUUCAUAUAAAGAGUAUGCUCCCAAAUACUGAACAACAGAAAUGGGCGUGCAUAUGCUGCUGCUCUGGAAACCAGGAAUCAAUUACUGUGCUGCUCCUACUUCCAUCAAGAGAUAUCCAGAAGACCCCCAAAGCUACCUUUUACAAGUUCCUCCAUGAAUUCACAAGAAAAGGACAUGGAGGAUACCUCCCCUGGUCUCUCCAACUUACAUAUGAACAGAAGCUGAACUGUCGUCUCUCUGGAAGGUUCCUUCACUUCCAACGGUCUCUCUGCGCUUUCCUGCUCUGUCUUUGUACUUUGGAUUCUUCACUGCUUUGUUGUCUUCAUACUCUGUGUUCUUUACAAGCAGAUUAAAUUCCAUCAAGACAAUGAA